rnacentral:lncRNA from 1 species
GUGGUUUGUUUCGUUUGGUAUGAUCUUAUUACAGUGUUCUACUACACUGUAAUCUAAUUUAGGAAACUCUAUGGGUAUAUUAAUUCAUGUGUGUUUCCGGUUAGCUCUGCGCAUUUAUAGAAUCCUGUUUUUUUAUAUAUAGUACCAGACCAAAGUCAAUGGUGCAAGGAGAAACUGUCAAGUCAUCAAACACAACGUUGUGCAGCGUCCAGGAAAAGACGUCUCGCCACUGAUUGGCGCUGCUGUGGACGCUGUCCACUCUCUUCACGCCUCUUUUUUGGUGGAGGUGGAUUGCCAUCACAUGCGAAAGCUUUAUUCCGAGGUGUCUGAUGCAUUGGCCUUUCCACGGGCUGAGACAGCAGCUGCUCAUCACUGUCACUUGAAGACGUAAUGUCUGCAGCUUCAAAGGCCUCCCAAAACUCAUUACCAAUCUUACCCAGUUCUAACACUUCAGCCACUUCCUGAGGGUCAGCAGCAUCACCCAAGAUCUUGCGGAAGGCUGGCAGUGAGUCGCAGCAGAAGAAAGCUGUCAGGUCAAUGCCGGGAGCAGCGUGCUUCAGCUCGGCUCGCAGGAGUGGAAAGUCAAACUUGUCACCAUUGUGCGCCACUAGGCAGAUGGGCGGCUGCAGUGUGUACAAGAACUUCUCCACGACAUGCGCCAUUUCACCAAAGGAUGGGCACCACUGCAAGUCCCAAUUGUCCAAACCUGAAAAGGCAAUUGGAACAACUGAGGACAAACCUGUCACUGACAGACCACAAGGUGGCUGUGAACCCCACGAUACGUUUUCUGGUCCCCAUGCCUAUAUUCUUCCAGGGCGCACAGCUCAUGGCCAGUGUGACAUGGAACAUUGCAGUUUUGUGUUGGCUUUCCCAAAGCAUAUGUUGACACCAAUGAAUCUCUCCUUCAUUUAUACACAGCUUAGACUGCAUUUCCAUAUUUUAGUGUUACAGGGAAACUAUAAAAUAUAUAGAAGAACACAUAACAGCAACUGUACUAUGUGCAGACUGUAUAUACACACAGAGCACCACAUCCACGUAAUAAACUGCGAUACCAUGGUACACAUGUCAAACAUAACUUAGCACUGCUGUACAGCCCUAGUGGGGCAAGAAUGUUUACAAUGUCGGUAAAGUAAUACAUUACAAGGCAGAAAUAUCAAUAAUAAAAAAAUGUUAUCCAUCUGUCUGACACAUGCACUAUACUAGAGCUCACAAUUCAUGUACCGUGCUUGUCACCAUAUUAAUUAUACUGCAGUCAGUAUUUGUCCCAAAAAAAGUACUCUGAAAGAAAGUAAUAUACACUACCAAAGACAAUGCAGAAAGCCCGAGACCAUUUCUGUAAGUCUGGGUUGUGUCCUUUUUACCUCACUCUUAAUAACUAGGCUUUGCAGAUUUGUGAUUCUUUGAAGCCACCAAAACACAAACUUUUGUCAAUGCAAAGCACAUGCACACACAAAGAUACAGUAGGAAAUAAAGGUGGCAUGACAUAUAAAACCCAUACAAACAAGUCCUGAUAAAUUAGGUCAACUAUUGGCACUGCCAAUGUGAAAACUACUUUCUAAUGCUUAGCAGGCACAUGUGUCAUUUGUACCGAGAUUAGGAGAGCAUAACUGCGAAGGUGUGUGGCAAAAUAUUUUUGCAUUGCUCACAUCGCCUAACAGCGAAAGGACACCUGUUUCAAGCAGUUUCAUUCUGUGAUAAUACUGAAGUCGCGCACCAUGCAUUAUCGGCAACAGCUCUCAAGGUCACUGUGAACUUGUGACAGAGCAUCUUUGCUAGUCAAUUUGUCCCAUUCCAAGUUAGCUCCUGCUUGCAUGGUGGGUCUAAAGGUUGGAAGUAUGUACAUAUCCCAUAAAAUGCCUGUAGGUGCUCAGGAUAAACGCUAUUUCUGCAUGCUAUCCCCACUCGUGCCUUUCAUUGUUAUGUCCCUAUUUUCAGUAACUGUGCACGGAGCUUUCAGAAUUGUGUUGGUGCAGAAGUGAGGGACAAUGUUGUUAUGUGUAGCAUACUGAGUUGUUUUGUUAUCAUCAUGUAUGCUAUGUUAGAUUUUGAGCCGCGCCAAGUUUGCUUCACCAAAUGAAGUGCCUUCUAAAUAGGUGCCAGCCUACUGCCAUCGUGCCAUGACCUUUUUUUGUUUGAAAGCACAAGACAUUGUAGUGCAUUAUCUUUUUUUCGUUGUGCAUCCAUUGCAAACGUGGCAGCUAUAGCAAUUUUUCAACACUGGUAUACAAAAGGGGCCCCAGAGAGCUUCAUUUAAAGAGAUUGAAAUCAAACCAACUUAGUCACAAGGCAAUAAUAUUUGUUAUGUACCGAUGGGUGUAAAAUUUAUUUGCAUGCCACAAGGAUCAUACAGUAUUGCCCUGAUGCUCACUUUACCAAAUUUCAGGCACUCUCGUUUCAGGCCCAUGACCCAAAAAGAAUUGCCUGCAAAGGCUACAGGCAAUGAAAUACUAUCACCCUAGCAACCCAGCCUAUCUAUUGGCCAUGACGAAUUAGUGCCACACCAAAAGAAGCACAAACAGUAUUCGUUUAGCAGGGUGACUAAAAUAAAGACUAAACAAACCAAAUAAUACCUCACUUAGCCUGUACAGUCGCCCAUUUUUUUAAGGGACUGCAAACCGUCCUUCAACGAUUUUCUGCUUUGUAUCGCAAUGAAAAGCGUACUAUCUGAAGUGUCCAACCUUGCAGCAGUUUCUCUGGAAAAUAGGUAGAAAUUUUUAAAACAUAACUUUCCUAUCUGUGUUUGGUCUUUUUUUAUUGGUGUGAUAAAUGCUGACAACACUGAUGGGUAGAGGCGAUGACUGUAGUGCUGGAGAAAGCCUGAAACUGAAACCAUGUGCAGUUUUUGCAGGCUUUAUCAAGUUUUGUUUUAAUAACAAAAAUACCGCAGUGGUCAAUUAAAGCCUGAAAAUUGUCAAAUAAAGUAUUAUUACCAUGGUU